CUGAUUGGUCAGAGAGCUCACCGAGCUUUGCAGUCUGGUUCGGUUCGUGCAGGUGGUGAUGCGGGCCUGGUGGACUCUGGUGCAGACUGCGGUCUUCGGGACGGGAGGCUUGUGUUCCCGGCGUUGAGCCGUUCAGGUCGGGAUCGAGACGGACUGACGGCUGCUGCUUCGCCGUCAUCUGCUGGCGUCUGGAAACCGAACAGGAGCGGAAGACCCGAACCGCACACCGGAAGACUCUGAGUCUUCUGCGGCUCGUUGACUCUCAGAAGCUGCAGGAACUUCAGUUUCCCUGAGUGAGUCUGAGGGACAUGAACACAUGAUGUCCUGUUGAGUCUGUCUGUGAUGAGAACCUGAAGCUUCAUGAAGCUCAGCACGAGUCCACAACGUGUCUGAAAGGAGGGAGGGGCUGCUGGGUGUCCUCCAGUCCUGUGAGCGUCCUGGACUACAGUCCUGCUGUUGGUGCGUCCAGGAGCUGCAGUGGAUUCAGUCCUGAGCUCAGAGCUUCCUGCGAGGCCCACAUGUAACCACUGAAACCUUUUUGUUCCCUCGUCCAGCAGAUACACCAGCCCUGACGUGGAGAGGAGCGCUGUGCUGUGCUCACCUGUCCUCUCCCGUGCUCACCUGUCCCCCCGUCUUCACCCGUCCUCACCUGCCCCCCCCCCACCUGACAGAAGACCACAGAGGAUGAAGCAGCAGGUUCGUACCUCACCGGGCCGUCCUGGUCUCUGACAGGAUGUUGGUGUGACACCAGCUCGUGUGGUGGUUCUGGGUCUUUGUGUGCUCAUGUUGUCCUGCAGCAGAGACUGAAGCUCUGAGGCCUUUAGGUCUGGUUCAGGUCUGGUUGUUGGUGUUUUUGGUGUGACUGAAACACAGUCUGCUGAGUCACACUGACUGGUGUGACUCAGCAGACUGAUGAGCACAACACCCUGUUGGUUAUUACUGCGGCAGUGAAAACCUGAUGAGGGUCCGACAGCAGGCUGCCGGUUCACGGCCUGCCGGCUCUCAGGUCUCAGAUGGUUCAGGUUCAGGAGCAGCUCAGCUCCAGACCUUCAGAUCCUCAUGUCUGUUCAGUGAUUCAAACCAGGCUGAAAGUCCUGAACGUGGAGCAGCAAGGCCGGAUUGUGUCUCCUGGUGUGUUGGUGGGACGUCACCAGAGACUGACGGUCUUUGGUCCUGAUCCGUCCAGAUUUGAAAUGAAAGACAAACUCUUCUGGUUCUUUAAAACAUUUCUUUAAUGUCAGUUUAGUAUAAAAACUUUGAUCUCCUGCUCGUCAAAUCAAAUCACAAUCAAUCAGCUACAAAAAGUGCUAAAAUACAAACCCACCCACAGAUCUACAACCCAACGUGUCCAACAUGUCGGUCCGUCUCAUCCGUCCUCCCCACACUCACACAGCUUUGAAAAGUGAUUUGGUUUGGUGUAAAAUCAGCUGAAAUGUGUUUUGUCUGUGGGAACAAAAGUUUCUGUCUGCAGUGUAAAAACUGGCAGUAAACCAUAAACCGGCUGUGCUUUGCCCCCCUUCAUGUCGUGGAUCACCGCCACAAACUGCAGAUUUUAUAUCAAAACUUCAAGUCUGGAGUCUUUAGUGUUUGGUAUUAAAUCAGCUGAUCCCUCAGUGGAUCAAUAAAAUCCACUCGACUACUUUAACUACUGCAAAGCCGCCAUCAGGUCUCACAGUCCUGAAAGUCCUCCUGAAGGUCUCCACGGGUUCUUCACCUGAGGAGGCGGAGCACUUUGUUUUCAAAGUGUGGCACAAACAUCCCAGAAUAUUCCUCACGGCGAUGAAGAGUCCACGCGUCACACAACGAACCCCUUCAGGACGUCCUCGUGUUGCCGUGACGAUGCAGAUGAUCAACCAGUCAGGCUGCAGGUCUGGUGAAUUAUUCCAUCACUCUGUAAAACGUCCUGAAGGAUUCCUCAGAAACGCUUUAGUAAAAUCCCAGAAGAUUCCUGACGGAGGAUGAAGAGAGUCCGUCAGCGCUGGCUUACAGAAGUCCCUUCAGUCCGGACUUUAGUGGCAUCAGAUUCAGUUGUGACCAUCAGCUGAUCCUGUAACGGGUUUAGUUUCUACACCGGUGAGAUCUAAACAUCAGAGUUCAGUCCAGUCUGCUGGGAUCCAAUCCCAGCUGUGCCUCCAUGUAGUGGGCGGGGCUUAUUGAACAGCUUGGCCAAAGGGGGCACGUCUACGUCCAGUCAGAGCGUCUGUGAGGGACGUCUUCCGGCGUCCUCGCUGACUGGCUGCUCAAUCUGGGGUUCAGGACGGGAUUUAAGUCUACCUGACCAGAGCAGGAGGAGCUCUGCUUUUCCUGAGUGGGAGAUGUUUGCUGUACUUUGGUGAGGUGUGACCAGCCAGGUGCUCCUUGUUUCUCAUUGGUCAGAGGUCUGUUGCACCUGAAUCUAACACUGAGUUUCUUGUGCUUGUGUCACAGCUCCGCUUCAGCCAGCGCCUCUGAUUGGUCAGUCCUCCAGGGGGCGUUGCUUUCUCACACAGGUUGGAUCAGUGUGAGCAGUGGGCAGCACCUGAGAGCAGUACGGCAGAGCAGGGCUGUGAUUGGUCAGUAGAGAAGGGUGGGCGGAGCUUUGUGUACCCUGAGCGUCUGGAUGGAGGAGAGCAUUUUCUUUUGGUGGCCGGCGAGGGUGACGCCCACCCUGAGCAGGUCUCUGUGGAAACAGAAAGAUCCAUUCAGACAGGAAACAACCUGUCCGAGCCGGCAGGUACACGUAAGCAGUACGGAUACACAGUACAUGUACUUGAUGCUGCGUGUCUUACUCGGUGUUGAGCUGUGAGACGAUGUCCAGGCUGGUGAAUCCGUUCUGCAGGAAGCUCUGCUCGUAUCGCUCCAUCUUUAUGGCUCGGAGCCACUCGGAGACCGAGCCACAGGCUGAGAGAGGAGGGGGGACGCGCUGGUCCAACAGAGGCUGGGACGGGCUGGGAGACAGACAGGAAGGGACACAGACAGACAGGAUUAAUGACGCUGACAGGGGGACAUGCAGAGGGGACUGUGUUGGUGUGUGUCCAUGUUAAUGGCUGUCAGUCGCUCAGCUGGAUGUCCACACACACUCACAUGCACACACACACACACGACGUGACCUCUGACCUUCAGCAGCCCAUGUCCCCCCACCCCCCGAGUUAACGAGUCUCACCUCGGUCCCUCUGGGUGUGUCACCUUCAGGGAGGCGGGGUUUCGGAUCAGCCUAUCGAGUGACGCCACUACGUCGCAGAACCUCGGCCGAUUGGCUCGUUCCUUCUGCCAGCAGUCCAGCAUGAGUGCGUGCAGAGAGGAGGGACAGUCGGGCGGCGGCGGCAGGCGGUAGUCCUGCUCGAUGGCGUUAAUCACCUGAUGGAGAGGGACAGACAGACGAGUGAGACAGGAGAAACAGACGAGUGAGACAGGAGAGACAGACAGACCAGUGUGACAAAUGGAAGACAGAUGCUGACAAACAGUCGUGACUUUUCCUUGUGGUGACUUUUUGAUGAGGUGAAAGUGAAGCCGAUGACCACAGAAACUAAAGUCCUGACUUGUCACUGAGUUCGUGAUGCGUUCACUGCUGCAGGUGUUUUGUGUCGUGGUUUUGUUGCUACGUGGUGUCGUUGUGUGUUUUCUCACAUCCUGGUUGCUCAUGUCCCAGUAUGGUCUUUCUCCAUAUGACAUCACUUCCCACAUGACGAUCCCGUAACUCCACGCGUCGCUGGCCGACGUGAACUUCCUGCGGGUCAAAGAAAUCAUCACUUCAGUUAACUGCUGCUACACUGACGCGACUCCCGUCUGCAGUACCGAUACUCACCUGUAGGCGAUGGCCUCGGGAGCCGUCCACCGGAUUGGAAUCUUCCCUCCCUGGACAGAGAGGACAGGAGACAGUGAAUGGACUGCGUUUAACGAGACCCUGAGGGACUCCAGCAGCCAGCAGAAGGAGCCAGUAAAACCAGAGCUGAGCCACAAGCACCAGUACAGGUGUACAGGCGGACAGGCAGGCCGACCGUCUCACCUUACAGACCAGGUUGGAGUUGACCAGGAUGUUCCGAGCUGCCAGGUCCCUGUGGACGAAGCUCAUGUCGGACAGAUACUUCAUCCCCGCCGCAAUCCCACGCAGCAUCCCCACCAGCUGGAUGGUGGUGAACUGACCGUCGUUCAUCUGCAGACGGGAGACAGGAAGCUGUCGAGAGCUCCGUUCUCCAUGAACUCGGUGAGGAUCAUGACCGGACAGGAAGUGGUGAUGACGCCCUCCAGGUGGAUGAUGUUGGGGUGCUGGAACUGACCCAUGAUGGACGCCUCUGACAGGAAGUCCCGCCUCUGCUUCUCUGUGUAGCCGCCCUUCAGCGUUUUAAUGGCCACGUAGUUCUCCUUCCGGCCUGGGAUCCUGAGCCGUCCACGACACACCUCGCCAAACUCACCUGGACAGCAGGUGAAACUGGAGCACAGAGACCAGAACAGACCAGACCAGAACUCCCCCCUCCUCUGUGAGCGGAGGUGUGAACGAGCCGAGAGGGAGAACAAAACGACUGGAGGACAGGGAGGAGGAGGAGGAGGUGGAGGAGGAAGAGGAGGAGGAGGAGGAGGAAGAGGAGAAGAAGAAGAAGAGGGGUGGGGGUUUGACAUACAGGUGUUAGCCCCGCCCCCUCCAGGAUGAUGUCACUGCGUGUUAUCAUGUGGGGGAUCCAAACACGUCACAGGAGACGCUUACUGGAAUACUACACAUUAAUAAGACUGGAGGUACUUGUACUUCACUUGAGUACUUCCAUUUUCUGAUUUCUACAACACAACAAACUGAACUCAGCGGCAGCAGUAAAAACACUCCCAUCGUACUGCAGAAAACUGAAGACAGCAGGUGUUCUCUCAUUGGAGCAAACCGACGCUGAUGUCAACUUCCUGCGUUUUAUUCUCAGACUGCGUCAGGACAGACGAACUGCGGUUUGACUGGAGACGAGUUGGAUGAAGACGCUGAAAGAAGCCGCAGACGUCCCAUAAUGCACUGCUGGACUGUCAGCCUGAAGCCUCACAGUGUUGGACGCCCCCGUCCCCUCGUCAGGUGUCCACCGUGUCCACCUGGUCUGACUGUCAUGUCAGAGUUCUGGUGCACUGAAGGCUGAAUGAACCUGCUUCUGUCCACCUGACACGCCUCCUCCCCCGUGCAGUCCGCACCUGAGUGCGAACCUCCCCCACCUCCCCCUCUGAAUCCACAGAGACAGGAAGUGUUAGCCAGCCAAUCAGAAGGUGAGUAAACACUGAACCGUCUCAUGUUGCAGCUGACUUCUGGGGCAGCUGUGGCCCUGAGGUUUGAGGAGCAGCUUGUGACCGGAGGGUCGCCGGUUCGAUUCCCCUCCAGACUGGCAGGAAAAAUCUGGGUGUGGUGGACUGAUUAACAAUGCUCCCCCCUCCAUUAGCCAGCUGAUGUGCCCUUGAGCAAGGCACUUAACCCGCUCCCCGAGCAGCCCACUGCUCCUGUGUGUUUCACUGCAUGUGUGUGUGUGUGUGUGUGUGUGUGUUCAGUCAGUGAUAGUUACAUGCAGAGAAGAAUUUCAGUGUUUGUGAAAACAAACUGACAAUAAAGUUUGAAGUUUCUGAAGUUCAGCUCAUGCAGGACUUCAUGUGUGAUGUCAUCAUGAACAGCUGAUCUGAGUUCAGGUCUUCUGAGUGACCUGUGGCCUGUUCUGCUGUCUCAGAUCUGACUUUCACAAUAAGAGUCUCCUUUGUCACAUAUCCAUAUGACAUCACAUAUGCUGCUGCCUGCUGGGGCAGCUGCCUGAGGGUGAGGGACACUAACAGACUCAACAGAAUCAUCAAGAAGGCCGCCAUGUUGUGGGAGAGGAACUGGACUCUCUGACAGUGGUG